rnacentral:tRNA from 1 species
GCGGGAGUGGCGUAAUGGCAGCCGCGGCAGGUUUAGGUCCUGUUGUCCGGAAGGACGUAGGGGUUCGACUCCCCUCUCCCGCACCA